AGAGAGAGACCCUCAUCAAUUGCAGGUUAGUGAAUGUAGUUUUAAUUCUUGAUUGAAUGUUGCAACUAAAGAGUCCUGUGUUUCCAUUCUCUUAUUUGUUUGAUUUCUUCAAUUUCAUCUCAUCAAUCUGACCACCUGCUAAGUACAUCAUGGCGAUGGAAUCAGGGGUGGAGGUAGAAGAGGAAAGGGAUGGCAUGAAAAUGGUCGAGGUACUAAAAAACGUAAUUCAGUUAACGAUUAUAUCUUCAGAUAGAGGCGUUUAAGCAUCGUGUGGUGGUGGAUCCGAAGUAUGCUGAUCCGAGUCUGUUUUGAAGAAACAGAAAAGAAAUGAAGAAUGGUCUUUAAAUUAAAACAAGCCAGGGAUGGGAAAAAUUGAGUCUGACCUUGAGCUUGUUGAAUUUAAAAAGCUUCUUCCUCAUGUCUCUAACCAAAGACUAAAGGAUGCUGUUAUUAAGGUGGCUCCUGGAAGCAUGGAGUUAAUUGGAUUAGAGAAACUUAAAAAACUUCUGCGAGAAAACCCGUACACAUCUGCUGAGAUGCCUGAUUGUGGUUUGUAUCGAUGGGAUGACCUAAAGCGCAAGAUUGGAGCUACUGACGAGGGACUAGAAUCCGCUCUUCGGGCUCUUUCAGCCGUAGAGAUUAAACUGCAAGGGCUAUUGACGUACUCAAUUUCACUGCAGUAAAUGGGAAAGCUAUUCAUAUCAUGUACUUUCAUAGAGACCCAAGCGUUCGUAAAAGUGGAAUUGCAAAUAUAUUCAUCAAGAAUUUGGAUAAGUCAAUUGACAGCAAGGCAUUGCACAACACAUUUUGUAGCUUCAGUAACAUACUCUCUUGCAAGAUAGCUACAGACGGUACAGGCCAGUCAAAAGGGUUACAGGUUUGUGCAGUUUGAAACCGAAGAAGCUGCACAAACCACAAUUGAUAAUCUUAACGGUAUGCUGAUCAACGAAAGCAAGUUUACGUCGGUCACUUUCUUCGUAAGCAAGAACGUGACUCAUCAUUAAGCAACACAAAGUUUAACAAUGUCUACGUGAAAAAUGUUGGAAAUCUUUGAAACUUGAAUAGGGUUCUGCAGAUUUUCUAAAUGAUAUUGUUCAUGUGUAAAAUGAAUUGAUGGAUUACAAAUGUGAUAAUACAGUGAUAUAUAUAUAUA